rnacentral:lncRNA from 10 species
UUGUAGUGCGCCUGCGCUUGUCCGAACCUCUUCGGGAGACUACUUCUCGCGGUAUCUGACUCCUAGGCUCCGCCCUCUGCACGCCGCUCACGGUAUCUGACGCUCAGGCUCCGCCCCCUGCAUGUCUUUGUUGGCAAACAGUUCUGGGGGUCGUCCGAUCCUGCAGAGACCGUCCAGGCUGGACUUGAACUCCUUCCUCGGCUGA